GUAAAAUAUUGUAGGGGAAGAUACUUGACCAAUUUUGCACAGAGGAAAUGUAGACUAUGCAACUAAGGAUUAAGCUAUCCUGUAUCACAUACUACUUUGACAUCUAAAGUUAGGCAUCAUCGUGGAGGGUAAAAUAUGGUAGGAAAAUAAGAAUGUAAAGUGAUUAAGAGGUCAUUGUUCAAGUAAGUAACGUUAAAA